GUGCUUGAGGAGGACCGUCAACAUUCGAUGGAAAGUGGGUAAUUCAGACUGUGGCCGAGGCAGGAGGAGAGAGAACGUGGGGGAACAGAAAUUCAUCUCAGGAGCAGACCCUGAACCAUAAAAGCUUUCGGUUGGAUUGUGAUGUCUUUUUAAAUCAGUUGGAGAGAAAUGUGCCAUUCAAAAACCACGCAGAAACGAUCAACUAACAACUGAAAAGAUAAUCAAACUCUCACUUCAUGUAAUAAACCAAAAUUUGCGUCGGAUUUGUUAAAACAUCACUAUUACCAAAUGACUAUAUAGCACUGUUUGUUUUUUUUUCACAUAAAGCAACAAAAUGCAAAAGAACAUCCUUUUUCUCAGCUGUCAGUUUGCAGAAGGCUAACCUGAUGACACUUAGUGCCGAUGAAGAUGUGAAUACAGGGGCAUUCACAUACACUUCUGUUUUUGGAAGACUCUUCAGUUUAUGUACUGAAACAGGUGGAAACCAGGCUUCUUGGAAGACUUCACACUAUGCCAAAUGGUCUGAUUUCACCAUGGAGAGCCCAUUGUGUUCCACGAAGCAGGCAAAACUCGGAGAGACAACAAAGACUUGAUCUACAAGAAGAGAAGGCAAUAAAGAGCCAGCCCUCUCCAGAGGAAUGUUAUACUAUUAAUUGCCAAUUUGCAUAUGUGUGCAGCUGCUGUUUUGGCUCUGAACUCAAUCCGAUAAGCUAGCUGGAGGUAUCGCGGAGCACUUGGCAGCUUUCCUAUUUGAAAAGAAAGCCUCUCCCACCACAGAACAGCUGAUCGUCUAUCAGCGAUAGACCCUGAUGGCGUGAAUUACAAUUACACUACUUUUCACACUAAAUCUGGGUGAUAGCUACUUGGAAAGAAGUUUCAUCAUUUUUUACCACAAACUGGAAAAAGAAUUACAUGGUCAUGCUGUGCUUUUAAAGGCAGUUUGGUUCACUUUUGUCUGUUUAACACCUAAUUCCAAGAAGUCCAUAGGCAUCCAGAGAGCUGAAUGGCGCGUAAUGAAUUCACUGUUUAGAUGGAAGAUUUUUAAAAUCUACCUCAAAUUACAUUUAUUAACAAGGCGACCAGGAAGUGUUAAAGUUGUUAGACGCUUCAUUUAUUAAAUAAUUUGUGGGUAUUUUCAGUUGUCAUAUCUAGAGUCAUGGGGUUUGCUUAUUUUUUUUUUUAAUUAGCAAUCCAAAACAAUGCUUCUGUGAUUUAACAAUUCGUCACAUAAUCUUGGGCUCAUCCGUUCGGCUGUUAAUAUUAGAUAAUUCAGAUAGUUAUUUUGGUCUGUUUAUAAAUGAUUUGGGUUGCACUGUGCUGUGAGGAUCACGGUGGCGGCCCAGGCAGAUUCUGAGCUUUCCUGUCUUGCCAAGGACAGCGGAGCACCUCCCAGAAAAUGAUUUGGUGUGCUCAGUUUGGUGAACCAGGGUGAGGGGCAGGGACACUUGACUUCUCAUUGUUUAGUUGAGUUCAUUAUCCAUGUACAUUUCCUUUCUCUUUGGAAACCUGCGACGGGGCUCUCGCUGGAGGAGUGUAUUUCAUUAGACCUCGACAUCUCUCUCAUUUUCUGUGACUUUAGAAAGAACGGACUUUUCCUCCGGCAAGAACCCACCAACCUCAGAAUCCCUGAUGGUCCUGAGGCCCUCUUUCCUUCGUCCCGCUCGGCUCUCCUCCCUCCCACCUCGACAUUUAAAUCCAUUAAAAGUUUAACCCACCUCAAGCAGCGGAAGUGGAGCGCACUAAUCCUGACGUAGUCAACCUAAGAGAAAAAUAGAUCUGGUUUUUCCUUUUUUAGUCGCUAGCUUUAUUAGAUUUCUCACUCUCACAGAUUAUCCGAAGACUACCCAUUGAUUGAUCGCCCGUAGAGAUGCAUUUGGUGUAAAGAAAAAACUCACAGCUUUAUUGGCUCCCAGGAGACAAAACAAACAGAACAAGAUAUUCAUAUUAAUGCAAACAAUGCAACAAAUGAAGGGAAGAACCGCCGUGCACAAGCCUGGCAGCGGCCAGGCUGCAAGGGCCCCUGGGCACCUACGCUCCAGCCCAGGUCCUUAGCCUCUGAGCUUGACCCAAAGAAGGGCAGCCGGCCUAAAGAAGGCCUCCAGCUCAGGCCUCAGGAAGGCCUACCGGGCGGGCGGGCGCUCAAGCCUGCACUCACAAACUGGAUAGGACCUUGGGGCCUUCUCCUUGGCUUUCUGUUCUUCACAGACCCAGCUCCUCGGCCUCAGCUUUGCUUUCCAGUUGGGUCAGAAGAGAGAGUCAAGAAGGCUCAGGUGUGUCCCUCCCAGCCACCUGAGGCAGCAGGAAAGAGACAAGAAAGAUGCUCAGAACUCUGAAGGGAAGCACUGCGGUAGGCCCUUCUCAAAGCUCACCUUCCUGGGAAGGAGGUGGUUUAAACUCUUAUGGAAACAACACAGAGCUUUGUUUAAGCACAUCAGUAUCGGAGAGGUCCGGGCUGUCUGGUGAACGGGAGGCAACAUCAAAAUUUCAGAUUGCACACCUAUUUCCCCAGACCCUAGGGGAAGACUCUCUUUAAGAGUGGAAUGGUUGGAUGUCUUUAUAGUCCAUGUGAUGUUAAAAAUAGAGUUGUCAAUUAGUGUGGGGCACACUCAUCCUAAAAUAAAUAAAUAAAUAAAUUCAAAUUUCA